rnacentral:rRNA from 1 species
UACGGAGGGUGCGAGCGUUAAUCGGAAUUACUGGGCGUAAAGCGCGCGUAGGCGGCUAUCUAAGUGGGAUGUGAAAGCCCCGGGCUCAACCUGGGAACUGCAUCCCAAACUGGAUAGCUAGAGUGUGUCAGAGGGUACUGGAAUUUCCUGUGUAGCGGUGAAAUGCGUAGAUAUAGGAAGGAACACCAGUGGCGAAGGCGAGUACCUGGGAUAACACUGACGCUGAGGUGCGAAAGCGUGGGGAGCAAACAGG